rnacentral:lncRNA from 1 species
GCAAGGGGUCGGGGAAGUCCGUCCCGCGUAUGGCGACGCAGCCGGGCAGGCGGACGGGGUCGGGGAGGUCUUCGAAGUCGACGUCGGUGGUCUCGUCGAGCCGGGGCAGGCGCAGCGCGAGGGUGAGCAUCGUAAGGUUGGAAGGGUAAAAUAUGUAGCCCGGCACUCCGAGCUCCCGCACCAGCGACAGCGUCACGGCCCCAAAAAGGUCACAGACGAAGGCGGCGGCGGGGUUUCGGAAGGAGAGGAAGGCGUCGCGGAGGAGGGGGAGGCAUCGAGCGGGGAGGGCGCAGAGGUGGGCUUCGAUCGGGGAGUCGGGGGGGAGGUCGGAGAGGGAGAUGGAGGGGAGGGAGACGGAGGUGACGGAGUCGGAGGGGAGGGAGGCGAGGAAGGCGGCCUGCGCUGGGGAGUCGAAGUUGGAGAAGGUGAGUAGGGUGGCGGAGAAGCCGUGGGCGGCGGUGAGCCGGACGGCGAAGUCCGCCAGCGGGAUCACAUGGCCCAUCCCCGGCGUCGGGAGCAAAACCACAUGCGGCCGCCGGCUCUCCUUCCCCUCGACAGCCAUAUAAUUAAUAUCGUAAUAUUUGUUUGGACUGUCGUGCAGUAUAAAACAGAGAUACAGAUAUAUUCGUGAGAAGGGAAGUCUGAGUUGUGUUGUGUUUGUAAAAUUUGUCAGGAAGCUUCUCAUGAAUUAAGGGAAAAAAAAGUGUGGGCCAUGUUCUCAGGUCGGUCGUCUUUGGCUCCAUGUGUUGUGGACGUGUUUGGUUAUGUCUUCCUUUCCAAUUUAAUAAGACAUAAAUAGAAUAUAGUAAAUUUUAACUUUUUUUAAUAGUUAUAGCAUUUUAGAAAGCAAUUUGUUACAUAAGUCAUAAAGUAACAAACACAGUACAUGAACUUGAUCAAAUUAUUAUUACGUACAAUAAUUAAUAGAUGCUAACCUAAUUAUUUAGAUAAGAUGCAUCUUAUAAUAAUAUAUAUUAAGCUUACUACCUAGAACAAAAUAUAAUUUGUAUGUACGCGUCACGUUUUUAUUAUUUCAUUUUAAACAAUUAUUGUAUGCGCAUAAUUGCUGACGAGUACUGCGUACAUCUUUUUAAUAUGUUGAUACAUCAAAAUAUUUCUCAUUCUAGUAACUCCCCUUCAACCAGUAUUGUCAAAAUACACUCCUGAACUUUUAAUUUCAGUUGCUAAAUUAACCAGUUUUAUUAAUCCUCCUCCUCCAAUAAAGUUAUUAAUUAAUUAAAUAAUGAUGCUGAUUGAUAAAUUAUCCUCAAAUUGCUAUAAUUACUUUCCUUUUGUACGCUUUGGGAACAAAUAAUAUCUUUAUAUAUGUAUACAAUUAAUGUGUACCUUAUUUAUGGGCACAUCGACAAUAUCAACAAUUUAUAUAUAUAAAAAAAAAUCUUUUAGACAUUCAAAAUAUUUUUCUAAAAAAAUAUUAAAAAAGAUGGAUUAAAUACCUUACAUCUGAUUUAGAUUUAUAACCUUCUAUCAUAAUAUGGUGGGCAUACAUGUUACUAAUUAAUUAGUAAUUACUCUGCCGAAUACAUUUUGAUCCUGUUCCAACUUUUGUUUUUAUCUUUCCUCUUUUUGUACUUGAUUAAUUACCUUAUAUUCCAAUAAUUACUUUUCUCCUCCCAUUUUGCUUAUGUUUUAUAUUGGGGUCUAAAAAUGAUUCUACUAGUUAUAUUAAGGUAUUAGAUGAACUUGAUCCAAUAACUAUUUUUAAAAGAAAUAAACGAAACAGUUAACAUACUACCUUACCCUCUCAAAAAAAAAAAAUUUGCUGUAAUAAUACCUUUCCGCCGUAUCGUACGGGCCGUUAACUAGUUUUCUAUAAUUUAACAACUACAACUCACGAGGAAAACGACAAGUGCAAAAUUAUAUAAAAAAAAAAAACUUAACAUUUAUUGAGGAUCUGUCUUUCAUUUAAAAAAAAAAUGUAAAAGAGACAAAUGAAAUCCUCAGCAAUCCAACUGGUACCGACCGUCCCUAGAGCAAGUGGCAAAAGACUUGGUGGUUGGUACCCGAAACUCAAAUUUGAAUCCUAGUUGAUUCAUAUUUCCAGCUAAGUUUAUUUCUAAAUAAAAUAAACGAAGCAGGUAGCGCGCUAUCUAUCUCUCAAAAAAAAAAUAAAUAAAAUCCGAGCAAGUGGUCAAACAAGCCAUUUUGGUGGGACAGCAAAUAUAUUUCAUGGACCGAAUCAAUAUGAUGAACUUCUAGAAACAACAUAAAGCAAUUAAUUUUUAAAUUUAGAAGUCAUUGAGUAGAGCUAGAAUACCCCCAAAAGCACCAAUAGGUUGGUGUUUUUGAGUUUUUAGCUUUUUGAUGGAGAGAUAUAGGGUUGAGAUGAUAGUGGUAGGUGGUACUACGUGGAAUAAUACUUGAUCCAAAGGGUAUUAGUAAUUGAAAAGCAUAUCCAAGGGAUAAAAACUUAGAAGCACCAAUAAGUUGGUGGUUCUAAAAGUAUUCUAGCUCUACUCGUCAUUGAGUAUCACUUUUUUUAACAGGCGUAUAUUCCAAUCUACACUAAUUUAGUUGACUAAAUAUUCACGCAUCGUUAAUGUAAAAAUAAUAUUGUAAUACUGUGAUUAUUGAUGCACCAAAAAUUAUAAUUUUACAUCACUUUUAUUUCAGUAGUAUAUUAAUAUUUAAUCAGAUAAAUUCGAGUGCGGGACUUGGCUACUUGCUUUGUACUUAGUCCCAUACCAUUUGUUUUUUUUUUUUUUUGGAAUGUUACUUCAUCCCCUCUUUUGAUGUUGACUAUUGUCAAUUUGGCUUAAAUUAGCAUGCCAUUACAUUAAUAAGAGAAUCUUAUUGAAGAAACAAUGGUCACAUAUGAUGCAAAUAUAGUCAAAACAAAAAAGCUUUUAUAUUCUUAGGAAAUUACUUAUAAAAUAUUCGAAUCACCAUCUAAAAAGAAAAGAAAAACUAACCACCCAUUUUCCUGGUCCAAAUGGCUUGACAUUUUCAAACAGAGUUUUCAAAUUUAUUUAUUUUAUAAAAAAUAAUUACGUGUAUUAAGUUGAUCUGAAAAACAAACUAUUCAUUGAGUAUACUAACAUUCAUGCGAAAUUAAUAUAAAUAACACGCGAAAUUAACAGGCAGUACGAUGCAUACUAAACAAACUAUUAAUAUAAAUGACCUGCGAAAUUAACAGAUAGUAUGAUGCAUACUAUGAAAAAAAUUAAUUAGACAAAAAAUUAUAAUUGAUAAAAAUAAUUAUUCACAAAAAUAUAGAUAUGAUACUUUGUUUACUUUUACGCAGCACAAGAAAAUAAAUAGAUAGACCUAAGUAAUAGAUAAACCUAGUUAUCCAAAAGCCGAUCAAGAGGUAGGGAAGUUCCAGUCCUCUAUAUAAAGUUAAAUUUGGGACUCAGUACGCUUGUAUGGGUUUAUUGUAUAACGGUGUGUUUGGUAAAAUCGAUCUACACUUCAGUAAAGCUAGAGUUCCGUCUGUAUGGUAGGAAAAAUUCUAGAAUGCAACGGGUAUAUUAGUGACGUGGCGUAACAAACUAAUCAAAUUAAUCCUUUUAAGAAUAUAUGUCCCAUCAUGAUUGUAAAAAAAUAUUUUUAUUGUACUUUUGUUUAAAAAGAAGGAAUGUGAUUGGCUUGUUAUUGAUGACGUGGUACAAGUGUGACAGUGUAGAAUUCCUCCCAAGAAAGGGUGUAGGCCCCAUGGAAGUCAAGCUCCGCCAUUUCGUCCGUGAGCCAACUUGUGGUUUUCUGAGACGAAUUCACACAUGCAGGCGGUGUAGGCCCCAUGGAAGUCGAGCUCUGCCGUUUCGUCCAAACAUAGGCGAAUUCCUGUUACAAGAAUUAUGUCACCUCCACCUCGAAUUCGAUCAAAACAAAUACGUUCUAAGUUAGUUUUUUUUUUUUUAAGAGAGAAAAACAACAUACUAUCCAUUUCGUUGAUUUCUUUUAAAAUAAAAAAUAAACUUAGCUGAAAAUAUAAAAUAAUUAGAUUUCGAAUUUAGAAUCUCAAGUAUCAAUCACUAAAUCUUUUGCCACUUGCACUAUGGCGGGGGGUCAUUACACUCUAAGUUGUUGAAAGAAUUGUUNUUACCCUAUCAGAAAUCAAAUUUGAUUUUAAAAAUAAUUGAAGUAUACUUAGCAUAUAGGAGUUUGUAUGUAGCACUGGACAAUUAAUUUCUGACAAAGUUAGAGUAAAAUUUAAACACACAAAAUAAAAUCAUAAUACUGUACUUAAUGAUGCAAAAUCCACUGGUGAUAUUUUUCCUCCUGUUUUGUCCAUUUACAAGAUUCUUGUACCCUUCAAUUUUGGUAUUUUCCUAUCUUAUCUUACCUUAUCAAUAUCAAUAUAUUAAAGGGACCGACUGUUCCUAGCGCAAGUAGCAAAGAGCUUGAUGAUUGAUAUUCGAGAUAUCAAGUUCGAAUCCUAGUUGAUUCACAUUUCCAUCUAAGUUUAUUUAUAAAUAAAAUAAAUAAAACGGAUAACAUUCUACCUAUCUCUAAAAAAAAAAAAAAAAAAAAGAUUAAAGGCGUACCAUUAGGGCUGGCAAAUGAGCGAGCCGCUCGCUUCGAGCUCACGCGUCGAACUCGAUAUUUGCCAUCGUGAGCUCGACUCCGAAAUUAAAAAUGAAGCUAGCUUGAACAAAAAAACAAAGCUCGAAAUACCAUUUCAAACCGACUUGAGUACUUACUCCGCUCGUUCGAAUUAGGCCCCCGAAAAGCUCGAAAUCAUAUAUAUAUAUAUAUAUAUAUAUAUAUAUAUAUAUAUAUAUAUAUAUAUAUAUAGUAGAGCUACUAUACUAUCGAAAGUAUAGAGAUCUGGUGCUCUCGAUUUUUUGAUUCUUAGAUCAAUCCCUUUAAUCGUUUUUUAUCUUUGGAUUAAUAUUAUUAUUACCUUAUAGGGACCACUCAAUCCUAAGAGUAUUAUUUAAUCCUAGGGAGACCGCAAUCAUCUCAACGAUACAAUUUUUAAUCAAAUGGUCAAAAAUUAAAAAACAUCAAAUCCUCUAUAUUUCGAUAGCAUAGUAGUUCUACACUAUAUAUAUAUAUAUAUAUACAUACAUAUACAUAUAUAUAUAUAUACAUAUAUAUAUAUAUACAUAUAUAUAUACAUAUAUAUAUAUACAUAUAUAUAUAUACAUACAUAUACAUAUAUAUAUAUAUAUAUACAUAUAUAUAUAUAUAUACAUAUAUACAUAUAUAUAUAUAUACAUAUAUAUAUUAAAAAAUAUAUAAAUAUAAUAUAUAUAUAUAUAUUAAAAUAUAUAUAAAUAUAAUAUAUUUUAAUUAUAUAUAGGUUGAGUGAAUAAUCUGAGUUUAGUUAAAAUUGGGCCAAUGUUGUUGGCCCAUAAAAACAAACCCAAUAGACAAAUAAAAAAGUAAAAUUUUACUAAAUUUAUAUAUUUUUCUUUUCUUUCUUUCUUUCUUUUCUUUACAGAGUUCUAAAUUUUCAAUAUUUUUCUUUCUCAUUUUCUGCCUCUCACCCUAAGUGGCCAAGCCGGAAGCUCUCUAAGUUACCAAGUAACAUCAUAUGCUCGCCGUUGCCUAUCUUACUAUUUAUUGUAUGCUUGAAAAAACAUAUAGAAUAUUUUUAAAGUAAAAAAAUUAUUAUUCAUAUAAAAUUUUAAUUUUAGUUAUAUAUGAUUGGGUAGUUUAAUCCAAUAUUUAUCUAUAAAAUUUAUUUAUUUUUGACUGUAUAAAUGAAAAUGAAUAAUAUAGAAAUUGAAGGCGGAAGAAAAGACAUGUGAGGCUGAAAAAAUUAGAUAUUCAACUCAUAAAUUAUUUUUUUUAAUAUUAUAAUACUAUAUUUCAUAUAAUUAUUUUGUACUUUGAACUAUUAGACAUAUUUUUGUAUCAAAUUAUAGAUAAUGUUCUAUAUAAAUUAAACUAUUGAUCGUAUAAUGUUCAGAAUUUCAAGCGGCUCGUUUAGGGCUCGAGCUCGCUCGACUUGAAAUUAGGCUCGCUCGAGCUCGACUCGAAUUAAUUUCAAUCCAAGCUUGAGCUUAAAUUUAGGCUCGAAAUUAAUUUCAAGCCGAAUUUGAGCCGAGGUAAGCUCGCUCGAGCUCGGCUCGUUUCCACCCCUACGUACCAUACAUGAAAGGAGAAUCCAAACCAUGUGUACAGCAGAGCCCUCCUCGCUCCUGUGGGGCCCACUCUUUUUUUUUUUUUUUUUCUCUCUCUCCCAUACUUCCUUCACCCUUUCUUUUUUUAUUUGUUUUUUUCUCUCAACAUUUUUUUUUUUAUUUUUGUCUAUAUCACGUGUAAAAUUUUAUUAUAUGAACUAACCUUAUUUUUUAAUAGUCGAUAUAACAAAAUUAAAAUUUCAUACGGUAUAAAAAAAAUUGUACACCAAGUGUAUAAAACAUGCUUAUAUACAAUUUAUAAUUUGAUUUUUUUUUUAUUUUUACCUAUAUCAAGUAUAAAAUUUUAGCGCAUACACCAAUUCUAUUUUUUAAUAGUCUCCUCAAGGAAAGCGGUGGGACCCACUUUUUUUCUCUCUCAUACUCUCUCUCUCUCACACCCUAUACCCCCCCCUCCUCCUCUUUUUUUCUCUCAACACCUUUUCUUUUUUGUUUUUUCCUACACAAGUUUAAAAUUUUAUCAUAUAGAUCAACCUUAUUUUNCUUAUUUUUUAAUAGUCGAUAUAACAAAAUUAAAAUUUCAUACGGUAUAAAAAAAAUUGUACACCAAGUGUAUAAAACAUGCUUAUAUACAAUUUCUCAACACCUUUUCUUUUUUGUUUUUUCCUACACAAGUUUAAAAUUUUAUCAUAUAGAUCAACCUUAUUUUUUAAUAAUUGAUAGUGUACAGCAACCACUUCAAAUAAAGAGGUGGGGCUCACUCCACUUUUUUUUUCUCUCUCUCACUCUCCCUCACUCUCUCACACAUUGUACACCGAGUGUAUAAGACGUGCACAUGUAUUGCAUAUGAUAAAGUUUAGCUUUCUAUCUAUCUAUAUCCAUACACCCUACACACACCCUACACCCUACACCCUACACCCUACACCUCUAUAAUCCUAUUUUUUAAUAUUCAAUAUAACAAAAUUAAAAUUUCAUACGGUGUAAAAAAGUUGUACACCGAAUUUAUAAGAUAUGCUCAUAUACACGUCUUUGACAGUAUCAAAGAGAACUUAUAUACUUUGGGUUAAAAUUUUUUUGUACGUAUAAAAAUGCAAGUAUCUAAUUUAAACAUACACAAUAAAUGAAAUAACUAGGAAAUAUAAUCUGAUCGAAUACUUUGUCAUAAUAAAAGUAGAUUAUACAUGUAUGAAAGUUGUGUGCACUCAGUAGUUGUACAGGAUAACAAAGAAGGACCCUCAUAUUUCUGGCAAAAAUACUUUAUUUUUUAAUAGUCGAAAUACAAAAUUAAAAUUUCAUACGAUGUAAAAAAAAUUGUACAACAAGUGUAGAAGACAUGCUCAUAUAUAAUCUAUAAUUUAAAAUUUUUUUAUUUUUGCCUACAAAAUUUUAUUGCAUGGACCAAUCUUAUUUUUUAAUAGUCUCCUCAAGCAAAGAGGGGGCACACUUUUUUUUCUCUCUCUCAUUCUCUCUCUCUCUCUCUCACCCUACACUGCUUAUUUUAUUUUAUUUUUUCUCUCAACACCUUUUUUUUUUAUUUUUUCCUGCUCCAAGUGUAAAAAAUAGGGCUGGUCCAUGCGCUAAAAUUUUACACUUGGUGUAGGCAAAAAUAAAAAAAAUUCAAAUUAUAAAUUAUAUAUGAGCAUGUCUUAUACACUCGUAUACAACUUGUUUUACACCUUGUAAACUUUUAAUUUUUGUUAUAUCGACUAUUAAAAAAUAGGGUUAGUCCAUGCGAUAAAGUUUUAUACUUGAUGUAGGAAAAAAAAUUUAAAAAAAGGUGUUGAGCGAAAAAAAUAAAAAAAAAAAAGGGUGCAGGGUGUGUGAAAGAGAGAGUGUGAGAGAGAGAAAAAAAAAACCUAUUUUUUAAUAAUUAAUAUAAUAAAAUUAAAAUUUCAUCUCAUAAGUAUAAUUUAUAAUAUAUAAAAAAUAUAGAUAGAAAAAUUAAUAGAUUUGUACCUCUAUAAUAAAACUUCAUAAAUAUUAUGUAAAAAAAAUUAAACAUUCGGUGUAUAAGACAUUGUUACACAUUAUUCAAUUUGACUUUAACUUAACAUCAAUAAAGUUUAGUUUUGAGCUCUCCUUCCUUGGAGCAUUGGUGGGGUCCGCCCACUUUCUCCACUCCCACUUUUUGGUAGUAGGUAAUAUUUUGCUUUGUUUUUUUAGAAAUAAAUUUAGCUGAAAAUGCGAUUCGAAAUUGGGACUUCGGAUAUUGAACACCAAACUCUUUACAACGUACGGUGGGAACGAUAGGUAAUAUUAGAAUAAAAAAUGGGCCAGUAUUUGAUUUAGUAAUUUAAAUUUAGGGAAAACUUCAAAAACCCCCCCUGUGGUUUCGUGCUUUCUCACUUUACUACCCUGUGGUUUAAAACGUAUCAAUUUGCCCCCCUGUGGUUUCGUUUUUCUCUUUUUGUUAUCAAUUUUAUUAUUAUUUUUUUCUUAAAUCAGUGACAAAGUUAAAAUUAAAGGAUACUAAAGUGAAUAUUCGAUAAAUAUAGAUGGUUAUCUGAAGUUUUUUGUAUAUAAUUUAACGAAAUGUUAACGAAAAAGCUUCCGAAAAGAUAAAAAUGAAACCACAGGGGGGCAAAUUGAUACGUUUUAAACCACAGGGUAGUAAAGUGAGAAUGCACGAAACUACAGGGGGGUUUUUGAAGUUUUCCCUUAAAUUUAACAUCUUUUAGAUUCUUAUACUUAAAAAAAAAAUUAAAAUACUAUUAAUAGCAAAAGAAAAAUAUGGCCAAAUUGCAUAAAAAAUCCACUAGUUUUGCGCUGUUGAAAAAGUGGGCCACUUUUUUCGAUUUUGCAGAUUCGGACCGAAUUUUCACCAAACUGACCAAAAUACCCUUAUUACUUUUUCCCUCUCCUCUUUUUUUCUCUCGUUCAUUUUUUUUUUCUCGUCGGUAGAGUGGAGGCGGAGCGGAGGCAGAAACGGCCCGUCUCGCCUCUCACCCUUAUGCUCUCGCCCUCGCCCUCGCCUGCGCACUCCCCACCUUCCUCGCCUCCGACCCCGCCGAGGCCGCACCGCGACUUUUUUUUUUUUUUCCUCUCCGACUCUCCUCCACCGUCUUCGGCGACGACGCCUCUCUCGCCCUUCCGCCUUUCUUGUCCUCUCUCUCUCCCUCCUACUCUGCUGCCUUCGACGACGACGCAUCUUCGCUGACGACGCAUCUUCGCCGACGCCGACACCGUUUAGGUCGCUACGGCGCCGCAACCUAGGGUGGGGGGUCCUUAGUGGCGUUGUCGCCGGCGCUGGCAGAGAGGGGUGACAAAAAAAAAAUAUAGAAGAAGCAAGAAAAAAAAAUAAAGAUAGAAAAUUAUAGAAAAAAAAAGAUGAAGAUUAAAUUGCACCGUUAAAAUAAAAUUACACUGUUUUAAAAGAACGUUGCAUUAUUAAGAUGUAAACUGCAGCUUUAAGAUUAAAUUAUACUCUUUAAACGAAAAUUGCACUCUUUAGGAGAUAUUUAUAUUGUUUCUCCUCUUAUUGCACUCUUUCAGAUGUAAACUGCAUCCAUUAAGAUAAAAGUUACACUCUUUAAACGAAAGUUGCACUCUUUGAGAGAUAUUUACACUAUUUCUCCUCUUAUUGCAUUGUUUCUCCUCUUGUUGCACUAUUUCUCUUAUUGUUUACACAGAAAUGGUGCAACAAGAGGAGAAACAGUGCAACAAGAAAAGAAAUAAUAUAAAUAUUUCUUAAAGGAAUGCAGUUUACAAAAGGAGAAACAGUGCAGCAAGAAGAGAAGAAAUAAUGUAAAUAUCUCUCAAAGAGUGCAACUUUCGUUUAAAGAGUAUAAUUUUUAUCUUAAUAGAUACAGUUACAUUUAAAAGAAUGCAAUAAGAGAAGAAACAGUGCAACAAGAGAAGAAACAGUGCAACAAGAGGAGAAACAGUAUAAAUAUCUCUUAAAGGGGUGCAGUUUACAUCUCAAAGGGUGCAAGAAGAGAAAAAAUAGUGUAAAUAUCUCUCAAAGAGUGCAACUUUCGUUUAAAGAGUGUAACUUUCAUCUUAAUGGAUGCAGUUUACAUCUGAAAGAGUGCAAUAAGAGGAGAAACAGUGUAAAUAUCUCUCAAAGAGUGUAAUUUUCGUUUAAAGAGUGUAACUUUCAUCUUAAUGGAUACAAUUUACAUCUGAAAGAGUGCAAUAAGAGGAGAAACAGUGUAAAUAUCUCCCAAAGAGUGUAAUUUUCGUUUAAAGAGAUAAAAAUUUAUCUUAAAGCUGCAGUUUACAUCUUAAAUAGUACAACUUAUGUUCAUAAUAGUGCAACGUUCUUUUAAAACAGUAUAAUUUUAUUUUAACGGUGCAAUUUCAUUUUCAUCUUUCUUUUUCUAUAAAUUUUUAUCUUUAUUUUUUUUUCUUGCUUCUAUCAUUUUUUUUUAUCACCCCUCUCUGCCAACGGCCACUGCGCCGGACACGACGCCGCUAAGAACCCCCCGCUCCGAGGCUGCAGCGCCGCAGCGACCUCCACGGUGUCGGUGUCGGCGAAAAUGCGUCAUCGUCGGAGGCGGCAGAGGAGGAAGGAGAGGGAGAGGACAAGAAGGGCGGGGAAGGGUGAGAGAGGCUUCAUUGUCGGAGACGGUAGAGGCGAGUCGAACAAGAAAAAAAAAAGAGUCGCGGCGCAGCCUCGGUGGGGUCGGAGGCGAGGAUGGUGGGGGGUGCGCGGACGAGGGCAAGGACGAGCUCGAGAGCAUGAGGGUGAAAGGCGAGGCGGGCCAUUUCCGCCUCCGCCUCUGCCUCCACUGCUUUCUUCGGUGAGAGAAAAAAAAAAUGAACGAGAGAAAAAAAGAUGAGAGAGAAAAAGGAGAGAGAAAAAGUAAUAAAGAUAUUUUAGUCAGUUUGCUGAAAAUUCGGACCGAAUCUGCAAAAACGAAAUAGAUGGCCCACUUGUACAAAAACCCAAAAUUAGUGAAUUUUUUUGUACAAAUUGGCCGAAAAAUACUAGCUACCUAUUAUUAUAGUUUUUGAAUACAUAGAGUUUAUUAUUUGGCGUGAUAUGUGCUAUUAUAAAUUGAAGGACUACAAAGUUAACAUUAAAUACUUAAUUUACUAUCAAUAGUAUUAUAGGUGAACUCUUUUAUGCAUAGAAUUAAAAAAAAAGAAAAAUUAAUUACACCAUUUGCCCCAAACAUUCAUUUUUUGUUUUGAUUUUAGACUUAAGAUUUUCUCAAUUAAAUUCUUAAGCUAUAUUAUUUGUUUCGAUUAAGUCCUGCUCAUCAAAAAGUUUAAUAAUUUUGAUAAAAUUUGUAGCAAAUAUGAUUUAGAAAUAAUGUGACAAUUCUCGUCAGAUUUUAAUACAAGACGUUAUUGAAAGACUCAAGAGGCAUUUGAAACUUAAUUACAAAAUAUUUUACAAAAUUGAGUGUCAAAAUAGAAAGCUUAUGAUAGAGAGCGAUAUAAAGACACCACAUUAAAUUACUAACUUGUGGACUAUAUUAAUAUUAAUUCAUCAAUAAUAUUUUAUAAAAUUCGUUUCAAGUACUUGCUACGCGCAGGCUCGCUCCCUCCUUCCACUUAUUGGCAACUCCCUGCAGCGCCUUGUAUGAGGACCCGUCCGGCGGUGCGAGCGCCCUCGCCGCCGCCUCCUGCAACUCCUUGGUGCGGCACCGCAGCGCCUUGCCCUUCUCCCCCUGCAUCAAUUCCUUCACCGCCGCCGCGAUCUCCUCCCUGCCGACGACACCGUAGGGGUCCCUUGACCGCGGCCGGAUGGCGAUUCCGACCGCCUCGGUGAGCAGGACGGCAUUCCAGUGCUGUUCGGCAUAGAGCGGGUGCGCAAUCAUCGGCACGCCAUGCACGGUGCUCUCCAGCGCCGAGUUCCAGCCGCAGUGUGAGAAGAAGCCGCCAGUCGCAGCAUGGGCCAGCACCUUGACCUGCGGCGCCCACGACGACACCACGCGGCCCACGUCCUUUGUCCGUUCCAAGAAGCCCUCCGGAAGGUAGUUCGAAGGAUCAUCCUUGCUUCCUAAUAUCAUUUAUAAACAGUAAAAAGCGAUAAAUCAAGUAUAGCAACCGAGUUCUCCAACCAACUUUGGCCUAUGAAAGAAAUAACUUUAAUACUAAAUCGAUGUGCGAAGAAAUAUAAAAACUCGAUACUAAUAAAUUAAAAUUAUAUAUAUUAUAAUAACAGCACAUCAUCAAAUUUUAUAACAAUAGCUCGGUACCUGAUGUGAAAAAGGCGGCGUUCUUUUCUUUGUCACUGGGACACCUGACAACCCAAAGGAAGCGCUGCCCGCUGGCCUCCAGCCCGAGUGCCAUCUCCUGCAUCUGCUCCGUCGAGAGGGAGCCGCCACUCCCGAAAGACACGAAUAAAACCGAAUCGGCCGGCUGCCGGUCCAGCCACUCCAGGCAGCCCGACUCGUCCGCCUCAUCCGAACCGGACCGGACCAUCGGACCCACCAGGUGGACCGGCGGCCUCCCUGCUUCCGCUUGCUCCUCCUCUCUGAUGGCUUUCAGCACCUCCUUCUCCAUCUCCUCGAAGCUGUUCACCAGGAUCCCGGCCGCGUCACUGUAACUGCAAAACAACUCGUUACUUUGACAAUUCAAUCGUAUUCGAACUCGGAAUCUACUAUUUUAUUUAAAAUUAUCAAAUUCUUUUAGAAACUUACGUUAUUAGAUAAGAUAACGAUAUUUCUUACCUGCUCAUGAUCCGGAUGAGCGGAGCGUACGCGGGGUGUGACUUCUUGCGCAAGGGGUCGGGGAAGUCCGUCCCGCGUAUGGCGACGCAGCCUGGCAGGCAGACGGGGUCGGGGAGGUCUUCGAAGUCGACGUCGGUGGUCUCGUCGAGCCGGGGCAGGUGCAGCGCGAGGGUGAGCAUCCUAAGAUUGGUAGGGUAAAAUAUGUAACCCGGCACACCGAGCUCCCGCACCAGCGACAGCGUCACGGACCCAAAAAGGUCGCAGACGAAGGCGGCGGCGGGGUUUCGGAAGGAGAGGAAGGCGUCGCGGAGGAGGGGGAGGCAUCGGGUGAGGAGCGCGCAGAGAUGGACUUCGAUCGGGGAGUCGGGGGGGAGGUCGGAGAGGGAGAUGGAGGGGAGGGAGACGGAGGUGACGGAGUCGGAGGGGAGGGAGGCGAGGAAG